AGUCAGAUGUGAAAGCCCGGGGCUCAACCUUGGAAUUGCAUUUGAAACUGGCAGGCUAGAGUACUGUAGAGGGGGGGUAGAAUUCAGGUGUAGCGGUGAAAUGCGUAGAGAUAUGAAGGAAUACCGGUGGCGAAGGCGGCCCCCUGGACAGAUACUGACACUCAGAUGCGAAAGCGUGGGGAGCAAACAGGAUUAGAUACCCUGGUAGUUCACGCCGUAAACGAUGUCUACUUGGAGGUUGUGGCCCUGAGCCGUGGCUUUUGGAGCUAACGCGUUAAGUAGACCGCCUGGGGAGUACGGUCGCAAGAUUAAAACUCAAAUGAAUUGACGGGGGCCCGCACCAGCGGUGGAGCAUGUGGUUUAAUUUGAUGCAACGCGAAGAACCUUACCUACUUUUGACAUCCAGAGAACUUUCCAGAGAUGGAUUGGUGCCUUUGGGAACUUUGAGACAGGUGCUGCAUGGCUGUUGUCAGCUUGUGUUGUGAAAUGUUGGGUUAAGUCCCGCAACGAGCGCAACCCUUAUCCUUGUUUGCCAGCGAGUAAUGUCGGGAACUCCAGGGAGACUGCCGGUGAUAAACCGGAGGAAGGUGGGGACGACGUCAAGUCAUCAUGGCCCUUACGAGUAGGGCUACACACGUGCUACAAUGGCGCAUACAGAGGGCGGCCAACUUGCGAAAGUGAGCGAAUCCCAAAAAGUGCGUCGUAGUCCGGAUCGGAGUCUGCAACUCGACUCCGUGAAGUCGGAAUCGCUAGUAAUCGUGGAUCAGAAUGCCACGGUGAAUACGUUCCCGGGCCUUGUACACACCGCCCGUCACACCAUGGGAGUGGGCUGCAAAAGAAGUGGGUAGUUUAACCUUCGGGAGGACGCUCACC
rnacentral:rRNA from 1 species